rnacentral:misc_RNA from 1 species
CUUGCAGUACCAGGAGGAGCCUUAUCCAGGAGAAAACCCAAAACAUCAAAUGAUUAUGCUAUAGCACAUGCAUAAAGCAAUCUAAAUAUGCAAUAUGUAUACACUUGCAUACAGAAUACAUAACCCAGCGAGUUAUUAUGGCCCAUUAGCAUACCAAAAAUUGCAGAGAAGAUGCAUAAGUUUAACAAAACAGAAAGAGUGGAAAAGUUCACAAGUUCCAUAAAACUUCUUCCUUAAAAACAAGAUAAUUUAUGUGAUGAUGGUAUUUUAGAUGCCAAUGAUUACAAAAAGAAAUCCAAAAAAUAUGAAAAACAAAUAAAUUAUUAUGCGCAUAAAAUGACUUGAACACGUAAGGUUGAAAUUCUGCUCAAUUUGUUCCUGUUAUUCAUUAUCUCAAUGAAAGGAAUGCCAUGCGAGGGAGAUCAGAAAUUUUCCUUUCAUUCUCCCUAAUCUGAGUCUAAAGAUAUCACCACCCUCUGAAAGGCUAACCCAACUAAAUCAGGAAAACUGAUGCUUCCAACGCCCAUUGCCUAGUACUCAAAUACGUUAAAACCAGCAUUGCAUGUUACCUAUGAGGGAAGACUCUAGUGUCUACAGUGUCCUUUAUAAUCCACUAAUCUAUAUUAUAGAAAUAAAGACGUUCCAUUUUCUCAUGUCAGACAAAAAUGUUGUUGAUCAGAAGUUGAACUCAUCUAAUUUUGACGAUGGCAAAAGCCUUGGAACUAUUAAUGGUUUCUAAGUGUUAGCCUUGAUAGAGCUUUGCGCACAUUGAUGGUCCUGUAAGGGCCAACAGUCGUCUGCCACUAAAGGGCCAACAUCUAUUCUGGUGUAAGAAGAAAAUCAAACUUAGUGUCGGACUGAAGACAAGUAUCAAGAUAUAGGUUCUAAAUUUCCCAGCUCUAUAAUGGAUUUAAGCAAUAAUAAGGUUUUAAUAGCAGUGGGUCAAGAUAAAAGAACUGAACAGCAUUCACAUUCUAUCCUAUCUAUAAUUAAUUAGCAUAUUCUACCCAAUCAGCAACAAUCCUUUACCA